rnacentral:rRNA from 1 species
CUCCGUGAUGCGGUACCUGAGUACGGCGAGGCACGAGGAACCUUGUCGGAAUCUGGGUCGACCACGAUCCAAGGCUAAAUACUCGAUAACUACCGAUAGUGCAGCAGUACCGUGAGGGAAAGGCGAAAAGAACCCCGGUGAGGGGAGUGAAAGAGAACCUGAAACCGGACACCCGCAACAGGUCAGAGCACCGAAAGGUGUGAUGGCGUGCCUUUUGUAGAAUGAGCCUGCGAGUUACGAUAUACGGCGAGGUUAAGGGAUGGGAGUCCUGGAGCCUAAGGGAAACCGAGUCUGAAGAGGGCGUGAAGUCGUAUGUCGUAGACCCGAAGCCAGGUGAUCUAGUUAUGGGCAGGUUGAAGCUCAGGUAAAACUGAGUGGAGGACCGAACUCUAGUGUGAUGAAAAACGCAGGGAUGACCCGUGACUAGGAGUGAAAGGCUAAACAAACCUGGAAAUAGCUGGCUCUCCCCGAAAUGCCUUGAGGGACAGCCUCAUUCAAAUGUACCGGAGGUAGAGCACUGGAUGGACUAGGGGGCUUCACCGCCUACCAAACCCAACCAAACUCCGAAUGCCGGUACACAACGGAUGGGAGUGAGACUGCGGGCGACAAGGUUCGUAGUCGAGAGGGGAACAGCCCAGACCGUCGGCUAAGGUCCCGAAAUACCGCUGAGUGUGAAAUGAUGUGUGAUUGCGAAGACAGCCAGGAGGUUGGCUUAGAAGCAGCCAUUCCUUUAAAGAGUGCGUAAUAGCUCACUGGUCGAGUAAUCAUGCGCAGACAAUGUAACGGGGCUAAGCGGUAUACCGAAGCCACGGAAUCAUACCGUAGGGUAUGGUUGGUAGGGGAGCAUUCCAUGGACCGACGAAGGUGGCCCGUGAGGGUAGCUGGAGGGGAUGGAAGAGAGAAUGCAGGUAUAAGUACACGAAAAGACAGGUGAGAUUCCUGUCCGCCGAAAGCCUAAGGUUUCCUGGGUAAAGGUCGUCUGCCCAGGGUAAGUCGGCCCCUAAGGCGAGGACGAAAGUCGUAGUCGAUGGGAAACGGGUGAAGAUUCCCGUACCUUAGCACGUUUCGAGGGGAUGACGCAUGAGGUGAAAUCCGGCCAGAGAUUGGUAGAUCUGGUCUAAGCCACGAGCUAGUGAACUGCGUAGGGAAAUCCGCGCGGGGAGGUAAGUGGUGAUGGCGAGCUGAGCUACGGCGAGGCGAAGCGGACGUAAUCAUGGUGCCAAGAAACAAUCUCUAAGGUUAGGCGUGUUAAGACCGUACCGUAAACCGACACAGGUAGGCGGGAUGAGCAAUCUAAGGCGCUCGAGAGAACUCGCGUUAAGGAACUCGGCAAAAUGCACACGUAACUUCGGGAGAAGUGUGGCCCCUUGCUGUUUAGCGAUAAGUGGUGAGGGGUAGCAUAGAGCAGUCCCAGGCGACUGUUUACCAAAAACACAGGCCUCUGCGAAUCAGCAAUGAGACGUAUAGGGGCUGACACCUGCCCGGUGCCGGAAGGUUAAGGGGAGCGGUUAGCCGCGAGGCGAAGCUGUGAACCGAAGCCCCGGUAAACGGCGGCCGUAACUAUAACGGUCCUAAGGUAGCGAAAUUCCUUGUCGGGUAAGUUCCGACCCGCACGAAUGGUGUAACGAUCUGGGAGCUGUCUCAACGCGAGACUCGGUGAAAUUUAAGUACCGGUAAAGAUGCCGGUUACCCGUGGUUAGACGGAAAGACCCCGUGAACCUUCACCGUAACUUAUCAUGGGGACUUGAUCUGACAUGUGUAGGAUAGGUGGGAGACUGGGAAGCAUGGCCGUUAGGUUGUGUGGAGUCGACGGUGAAAUACCACCCUUGUUGGAUUAGGUUUCUAACCUGUUCCAUGAAGCUGGGAGAGGGACAAUGAUAGGUGGGCGGUUUGACUGGGGCGGUCGCCUCCUAAAGAGUAACGGAGGUGCGCGAAGGUCACCUCGCGCUGGUUGGAAAUCAGCGUAUGAGUGUAAAGGCACAAGGUGGCUUGACUGUGAGACCGACAGGUCGAGCAGGUACGAAAGUAGGUCUUAGUGAUCUGGCGGUAGCGAGUGGAAGCGCCGUCACUUAACGGAUAAAAGGUACUCCGGGGAUAACAGGCUGAUCUUCCCCAAGAGUUCACAUCGACGGGAAGGUUUGGCACCUCGAUGUCGGCUCAUCGCAUCCUGGGGCUGGAGCAGGUCCCAAGGGUUUGGCUGUUCGCCAAUUAAAGCGGUACGUGAGCUGGGUUCAGAACGUCGCGAGACAGUUCGGUCCCUAUCUGCCACGGGCGAUGGAUGGUUGAGAGGAGCUGCUUUUAGUACGAGAGGACCGAAGUGGACGAACCUCUGGUGUACCAGUUGUCCUGCCAAGGGCACGUGCUGGGUAGCUAAGUUCGGAAGGGAUAACCGCUGAAGGCAUCUAAGUGGGAAGCCCACCUCAAGAUGAACCAUCCCUGGGGGUAUAGCCCCCCUGAAGGCACCAGGGAGACUACCUGGUUGAUAGGCUGGAGGUCUAAGCAUCGUAAGGUGUUCAGCCGACCAGUACUAAUCUGCCGUGAGGCUUGACCAUAUU